GAUGAACGCUGGCGGCGUGCCUAAUACAUGCCAGUCGAGCGAACAGACGAGGAGCUUGCUCCUCUGACGUUAGCGGCGGACGGGUGAGUAACACGUGGAUAACCUACCUAUAUGACUGGGAUAAUUUCGGGAAACCGGAGCUAAUACCGGAUAAUAUAUUGAACCGCAUUGUUCAAUAGUGAAAGACGGUUUUGCUGUCACUUAUAGAUGGAUCCGCGCCGCUUUAGCUAGUUGGUAAGGUAACGGCUUUCCAAGGCAAUGAUGCGUAGCCGACCUGUGAGGGUGAUCGGCCACACUGGAACUGGGACACGGUCCAGACUCCUACGGGAGGCAGCAGUAGGGAAUUUUCCGCAAUGGGCGGAAGCUUGACGGAGCAACGCAGCGUGAGUGAUGAAGGUCUUCGGAUCGUAAAACUCUGUUAUUAGGGAAGAACAAAUGUGUAAGUAACUAUGCACGUCUUGACGGUACCUAAUCAGAAAGCCACGGCUAACUACGUG
rnacentral:rRNA from 1 species